GCGCAGCUGUAACCGUGAAGCUUUCGCUGGGCCUUAUGACUACAAGUUUCGAAAUCGGGAUUUGAACACCUUGGCUAGCGCUCACCCAUAUGAUGACCAUAUCACCUAAUGCACCAUUCACCCGUUGGGCGCUUAGGCAAAUACGUGAUCGUCACAAAUCGAAACGAACACAUGCAGAGUGCAAGGAAAUUGCUGGAAGAUAAUUGCCCCUUUUUGAGCGAGGAAUCUCUCCGAAUGCUGCGAAGUCGACUAACGAGUAAGCUGUACCGAAUAAAGUUUUCCUCCAGAUUACAGGUUAGCAAACAAACAUCAGAGCAUCAGUGGCACACCAGCAUUAACAAGCUCAAAAAAAUAUCAGCUGCAUAAUCAGUUGAGUACCACCACCGGAAACCACCACUGGACGGACUUGCCUCGGAAAAGCUCAUCGUCAGCUCAUCAUCCUCUUGGGUUGCUGGCACUCCUAUGGAUUUCUGUGAACAUCGAUGCCUUCCGUGCACUGAUUAAAAUUUUCGGCUGGCAUCCAUUCAUUUCAUUGGCAAUUUCAAUUGUCUGCGUGUAUGUGCGUGAUGUUCCCUUUAUUAUACAAAUGGUCUUCAACGAUGCAUGUCUGCCUGAUUUAUAACAAAUCCGGGUAUUUCUACUGAAGAAUGCAGGUAGCCAGGUGUUAAGCGAAUGUGCGCCAAAAGUGCCAGCAUGCAAACUACCUUUGAAGAGAAAUCUGCCAUGUAUCGAUCCCAUUGUAGGCAUUGUUUAUAAAAAAACCUGCAUCUCUAUAUUAUCUGAACCAUCGGAGUGGCAUGUCUCCGCUUAUCCUUAUCCGGUUUAAUAGCUGUUCCCUCUCUGUGUGGCAGCGUAUGGCGAUACUAGCGAUUAGCAUCCUGUGGUUUGCCAUUAUGCCAUCUGGUCGCUUAAAAUA